UACGGAAGGUCCGGGCGUUAUCCGGAUUUAUUGGGUUUAAAGGGAGCGUAGGCCGGCUUUUAAGUCAGCUGUGAAAGUCCGCGGCUCAACCGUGGAAUUGCAGUUGAAACUGGAGGCCUUGAGUGCACACAGGGAUGCCGGAAUUCAUGGUGUAGCGGUGAAAUGCUUAGAUAUCAGGAGGAACACCAGUGGCGAAGGCGGCUUACUGGACUGUAACUGACGUUGAGGCUCGAAAGCGUGGGGAGCAAACAGG
rnacentral:rRNA from 1 species